GACGAACGCUGGCGGCGUGCCUAAUACAUGCAAGUCGAGCGGAUGAAAGAGGAGCUUGCUCCUCUAGAUUCAGCGGCGGACGGGUGAGUAACACGUGGGCAACCUGCCCUGUAGAUUGGGAUAACUCCGGGAAACCGGGGCUAAUACCGAAUAAUCCUUCGGACCUCAUGGUCCGAUGUUGAAAGACGGUUUCGGCUGUCACUACAGGAUGGGCCCGCGGCGCAUUAGCUAGUUGGUGAGGUAACGGCUCACCAAGGCCACGAUGCGUAGCCGACCUGAGAGGGUGAUCGGCCACACUGGGACUGAGACACGGCCCAGACUCCUACGGGAGGCAGCAGUAGGGAAUCUUCCACAAUGGACGAAAGUCUGAUGGAGCAACGCCGCGUGAGUGAAGAAGGUUCUCGGAUCGUAAAACUCUGUUGUGAGGGAAGAACAAGUACCGGAGUAACUGCCGGUGCCUUGACGGUACCUCAUUAGAAAGCCACGGCUAACUACGUGCCAGCAGCCGCAGUAACAC
rnacentral:rRNA from 1 species